rnacentral:rRNA from 1 species
UACAGAGGGUGCAAGCGUUGUUCGGAAUUAUUGGGCGUAAAGGGCGCGUAGGCGGUGCUGUAAGUCUGUGGUGAAAUCUCUGGGCUCAACUCAGAGUCUGCCAUAGAAACUGCAGUGCUGGAGUGUGGGAGAGGUGAGUGGAAUUCCGAGUGUAGAGGUGAAAUUCGUAGAUAUUCGGAAGAACACCAGUGGCGAAGGCGGCUCACUGGCCCGUUACCGACGCUCAGGCGCGACAGCGUGGGGAGCAAACAGG